UAUAUUUAUAGUAUAAAAAGUAUUUUAAAUUUAGUUUUUAAAGGUAGAAAAUAUAU
rnacentral:tRNA from 1 species